GUCUAUGGCCAUACCACCCUGAACGCGCCCGAUCUCGUCUGAUCUCGGAAGCUAAGCAUGGUCGGGCCUGGUUAGUACUUGGAUGGGAGAGAGAGGGAGAGAGAGAGA
rnacentral:rRNA from 1 species